GAUCAAGCUACAAAGGGCGCACGGUGAAUGCCCUGGCACUAGGAGCCGAUGAAGGACGUGAUAAGCUGCGAUAAGCUACAUGUAGGCGCACACAGCCUGUGAUAUGUAGAUUUCCGAAUGGGGAAACCCAUCUAGUUAUGCUAGAUACUGUAUACCGAAUACAUAGGUAUAUGGAGGUACACCUGGGGAACUGAAACAUCUAAGUACCCAGAGGAAGAGAAAGAAAAUUCGAUUCCCUAAGUAGCGGCGAGCGAAAGGGGAAGAGCCCAAACCAGGAACUUGUUCCUGGGGUUGCGGAUAGAUCAUAACGCUUUGAUUUUUUUAGUUGAAGAGAACUGGAAAGUUCCGUCGUAGAAGGUAAUAACCCUGUAGGCGAAAAGGAAAGAAAAGUAGAUCUACUCCAGAGUACCACGAGACACGUGAAACCUUGUGGGAAGCUGGGAGGACCAUCUCCCAAGGCUAAAUACUACCUAGUGACCGAUAGUGAAGCAGUACCGUGAGGGAAAGGUGAAAAGAACCCCGGAAGGGGAGUGAAAUAGAAUCUGAAACCGUGUGCCUACAAUCGGUCGGAGCACAUUAAAGUGUGACGGCGUACUUUUUGUAGAACGGGCCAGCGAGUUACGAUAUAUAGCAAGGUUAAGCACUUAUGGUGUGGAGCCGAAGGGAAACCGAGUCUGAAUAGGGCAACUAGUUGUAUAUUGUAGACCCGAAACCGGGUGACCUAUCCAUGGCCAGGAUGAAGCGGAAGUAAAAUUCCGUGGAGGUCCGAACCACGUUGGUGUUGAAAAACCAUGGGAUGAGCUGUGGAUAGCGGAGAAAUUCCAAUCGAACUCGGAGAUAGCUGGUUCUCCUCGAAAUAGCUUUAGGGCUAGCGUCGGGUAAUUGAGUAGUGGAGGUAGAGCACUGAAUGGGCUAGGGGCUGACAACAGUUACUGAACCCUAUCAAACUCCGAAUGCCAUAUACUUGUACCCCGGCAGUCAGACUACGAAUGAUAAGAUCCGUGGUCAAAAGGGAAACAGCCCAGACCAUCAGCUAAGGUCCCAAAGUGUAAGUUAAGUGGGAAAGGAUGUGGGAUUUCUAAGACAACUAGGAUGUUGGCUUAGAAGCAGCCACUCAUUUAAAGAGUGCGUAAUAGCUCACUAGUCGAGAGAUCCUGCGCCGAAGAUGUAACGGGGCUCAAACUUACCACCGAAGCUAUGGAUGUGUACUAUGUACACGUGGUAGAGGAGCUUUCUGUACAGGUUGAAGUCAUACCGUAAGGAGUGGUGGACAGUACAGAAGUGAGAAUGCUGGCAUAAGUAGCGAAAAACAAGUGAGAAUCUUGUUGACCGAAUAUCUAAGGUUUCCUGGG
rnacentral:rRNA from 1 species